AGCGAACGUUUGCGGCGGGCCUAACACAUGCAAGUCGAACGGGCUAGCAAUAGUCAGUGGCGCACGGGUGCGUAACACGUGGGUAAUCAACCCUUCAGCUCGGGAUAACGCCUUGAAAGGGGCGCUAAUACCGGAUAUGACGCGAGGAGCUUCGGCGCUUCGCGGGAAAGAUUCGCAAGGAUCUCUCAAGGACGAGCCUGCGGCCCAUCAGCUAGUUGGUGAGGAAGAGCUCACCAAGGCGAAGACGGGUAGCUGGUCUGAGAGGAUGAUCAGCCACACUGGAACUGAGACACGGUCCAGACU
rnacentral:rRNA from 1 species